rnacentral:lncRNA from 1 species
GUGAUGAAUCCAAAAAACAUUACACAGAAGUGACCCAAUAUACACUCUCUACAUAGUUGUCCAUGGUAUUAUAGAUUUUUUACAUAAAAAUCAGAAGUUGAAUAAAUUCUUUCUUUCUCUCAGUAUUUGCUUACAUCCUCGGAACCACGUCUGUUUGUUCCUUAUUAAAGUCUUCCCUUCAUAUGUAGAAGAACAGUUCAACAAUGGACAGACUGCUUCAACGAAGUUCAAGAAGAUGAUGCAGAGGCAGAGGCUUGGUUGAAAGGAAGCUGCUCAGCACAGCUAAGCACGUCAUGAGACCCGGCUUCCUCUCUGCCAACACCCAUUAGGUCGAGAUAAUAUAGGUAAUGAGAGACAAUGUUGUUCAUUGACUCAUCAUCGCCUUUGCCGCAAACUUGAUCCCCAUACAGAACAUUCAUGGUGGUGCCAAAUCCAGGUACCCUCUUGGCCAAAGUGUCAUUCUUGGUAGGUUUCCAUUUGCCAACAAAUACAUCGUGUGCUGAAGGGAGAUGCUUCUUUUCUGGUGUCAUCCACUUCCAAAUAGCAGCCUGGAAAGCUAGUGUAGCAUUGUUUUCGAGGUAUUCUGGAUGGUUCAACAGAUCAGUCUUCAGGGCUUCCCCAGUUUUGCCAUAGUUGUAGUUCCUGUAAAUGGAAGCAGCAGAUACAAAAAUAAACGAAUGCUUGAGCUUGUGAGAAGACCGCCAGGUUAAUUAAACACUGUCAUGGUAGACAUACGCCAUCCAAAAUCUGAAGAUUACCUUUUGUACACUCAAAGAUUGAUUGUACAAAAUUUCUGCUUCAAGGUAGGUAGGUAGGUAGGUGGAACCUACUAUUCUUAGAAAAUACUACUUACCAAAGAAUUUACUUUAAAUAUACUACAAGAAAAUAUAGUCUUUUAAAUGUUUUCAUGGAAGUGAUAUUGCACGUGGAGGAUGGUUAAUGGAGAAUGAGUUUUGGAAUUUCCGAAUAUUGCUUUGAUGCCUUCUUACUGUUUGUAUUUAUCAAUUAAGUGAAUUCGAGGAGGGAAAUAUAGAAAUUGGUGUGGCAUGGGGAGCAUGGAUAGAUCAUCCAAGAUUAGAAGAUGUAUACCAGUAAAGAGGCAGCGCACCCCUGCCGUGAUACGAAACUCCGGGAGUGCAAGGAUAGGUGUACUUGUAGUAAUCAUCGCAGUAUGUCUUGCUGGGACUCAUUUCCUUGUUGUAGCACAAACCCCAUGCCAAUGGUCCUCCAGUGGCCACUCCAUAACCACCUGAAAUAAUCAUCACCGAUAAUAGCCUUCAAUUUUAUAUAUAUAUAAUGAGAGAACAAGCAUCAUCGAUCAAAACUACAUGUAUGAUUAUAUAUUAUCAUAAUAGAUCAACCCCAAUUUCAAAGGUGAACAUUUAUAGUAUUGAUUUUUCUCUUACUCACAUGAGGUUUUGCUUCCAACAUGCCCAAGGAAAGCAGCAACUUCCUUCUGCCCCGUAAGUUUCCCUCCGCUGGUACCAAAUCCAUGAGGCUGGUAUUCUGCAGCUGCAGUAAUAAAAGAAUGGUAAUCCCAAAAUCCCGAAGCAUGAGCCACAGGAGUGUUACGUUUCGAAAACAAGUUUUCGAACUGGUAGGUCUGGAAAAAAUCAGAAAUGGUUUG